rnacentral:rRNA from 1 species
UCGAACGGCAGCACGGACUUCGGUCUGGUGGCGAGUGGCGAACGGGUGAGUAAUAUAUCGGAACAUACCCAGUAGUGGGGGAUAACUAUCCGAAAGGAUAGCUAAUACCGCAUACGAUCUGUGGAUGAAAGCAGGGGAUCUUCGGACCUUGUGCUAUUGGAAUGGCCGAUAUCUGAUUAGCUAGUUGGUAGGGUAAAAGCCUACCAAGGCGACGAUCAGUAGCUGGUCUGAGAGGACGACCAGCCACACUGGAGCUGAGACACGGUCCAGACUCCUACGGGAGGCAGCAGUGGGGAAUUUUGGACAAUGGGGGCAACCCUGAUCCGGCAAUGCCGCGUGAGUGAAGAAGGCCCUCGGGUUGUAAAGCUCUUUUGUCAGGGAAGAAACGGAGUUCUCUAAUAUAGGAUUCUAAUGACGGUACCUGAAGAAUAAGCACCGGCUAACUACGUGCCAGCAGCCGCGGUAAUACGUAGGGUGCAAGCGUUAAUCGGAAUUACUGGGCGUAAAGCGUGCGCAGGCGGUUUUGUAAGUCUGAUGUGAAAUCCCCGGGCUCAACCUGGGAACUGCAUUGGAGACUGCAAGGCUAGAGUGUGUCAGAGGGGGGUAGAAUUCCACGUGUAGCAGUGAAAUGCGUAGAGAUGUGGAGGAAUACCGAUGGCGAAGGCAGCCCCCUGGGAUAACACUGACGCUCAUGCACGAAAGCGUGGGGAGCAAACAGGAUUAGAUACCCUGGUAGUCCACGCCCUAAACGAUGUCUACUAGUUGUCGGGACUUAAUUGUCUUGGUAACGCAGCUAACGCGUGAAGUAGACCGC